ACAACAGGAGUUCCAAUUCCAACCCUUAUGCUUAUUCUAUCACAGUAUCACACACACCCCACUUGGUAUACCAAAAGCGCCGUCCGCUUUGCUGGGAGUUUGCAAGUGGCAACUAUAAAAUGGUAGCAACAACAAAAGAAAAACCAUGGUAGUCCUGCAUUCCCGGGUCCCGCUUGGAAAAGGAAAAGCGUAUGUGUUUGUGUUCAGGAAGAGGAGUUCUUGAGGACCCACUCCACCAAUGUGGAGACUCCGAAACCGGUGGCAGCACGCUUCUU
rnacentral:lncRNA from 1 species